AUUGAACGCUGGCGGCAGGCCUAACACAUGCAAGUCGAGCGAGCGGCGGACGGGUGAGUAAUGUCUGGGGACUGCCCGAUAGAGGGGGCUAACUCCUGGAAACGGUGGCUCUUCCCGCAUACUGUCGGAUAACCCCCAUGGGCUUAGCUCGUAGGUCAGGUAAUGGCUUACCUAGGCGACGAUCCCUAGCUGGUCUGAGAGGAUGAUCAGCCACACGGGAAAUGAGACACGGACCAGACUCCUACGGAGGCAGCAGUGGGGAAUAUGGCACAAUGGGCGCAAGCCUGAUGCAGCAAUGCCGCGUGUAUGAAGAAGGCCCUAGGGUUGUAAAGUACUUUAAGUCGGGAGGCGUUACCGGCAGAAGAAGAACCGGCUAACUCCGUGCCAGCAGCCGCGGUAAUAC
rnacentral:rRNA from 1 species